AUUGAACGCUGGCGGCAUGCUUUACACAUGCAAGUCGAACGGCAGCACGACGUGUAGCAAUACACGUUGGUGGCGAGUGGCGAACGGGUGAGUAAUACAUCGGAACGUGUCCAGUAGUGGGGGAUAACCAAUCGAAAGAUUGGCUAAUACCGCAUACGAUCUACGGAUGAAAGCGGGGGACCCGCAAGGGCCUCGCGCUAUUGGAGCGGCCGAUGUCCGAGUUAGCUAGGUGGUGGGGUAAUGGCCCACCAAGGCGACGAUCGGUGCCGGGUCUGGGAGGAUGAUCAGCCACACUGGAACUGCGACACGGUCCAGACCCCGACGGGAGGCAGCAGUGGGGAAUUUUGGACAAUGGGCGCAAGCCUGAUCCAGCCAUGCCGCGUGAGUGAAGAAGGCCUUCGGGUUGUAAAGCUCUUUCGGCGGGGACGAAACGGUCCGUGCCAACACCACGGACUAAUGACGGUACUCGUAGAAGAAGCACCGGCUAACUACGUGCCAGCCGCCGCGGUAACAC
rnacentral:rRNA from 1 species